rnacentral:rRNA from 1 species
UACGGGGGGGGCAAGCGUUGUUCGGAAUUACUGGGCGUAAAGGGCUCGUAGGCGGCCAACUAAGUCAGACGUGAAAUCCCUCGGCUUAACCGGGGAACUGCGUCUGAUACUGGAUGGCUUGAGUUUGGGAGAGGGAUGCGGAAUUCCAGGUGUAGCGGUGAAAUGCGUAGAUAUCUGGAGGAACACCGGUGGCGAAGGCGGCAUCCUGGACCAACACUGACGCUGAGGCGCGAAAGCUAGGGGAGCAAACGGG